ACCUUAGAUGUCCUGGGCCGCACGCGCGCUACACUGAGUGUCUGAGAUACGAGUCUGCCUGGUCCGGCAAGGUCUAGGUAAUCGCUAAAAGACACAUCAUGCUUGGGAUAGAUUAUUGCAAAUAUUAAUCUUGAACGAGGAAUUCCUAGUAAGCGCAAGUCAACAGCUUGCGUUGAUUACGUCCCUGCCCUUUGUACACACCGCCCGUCGCUACUACUGAUUGGAUGUUUAAGCGAGGUUCUCGAACUGCUAGCGACUUAGCUUCGGUGAGGUCGCAGUGUGGGAAGUGAACCUAGCUUUGGUGUCUAGAGGAAGUAAAAGUCGUAACA
rnacentral:rRNA from 1 species